rnacentral:rRNA from 1 species
AGAGAGAAUACCAAGGCGCUUGAGAGAACUCGGGUGAAGGAACUAGGCAAAAUGGCACCGUAACUUCGGGAGAAGGUGCGCCGGCUAGGGUGAAGGAUUUACUCCGUAAGCUCUGGCUGGUCGAAGAUACCAGGCCGCUGCGACUGUUUAUUAAAAACACAGCACUCUGCAAACACGAAAGUGGACGUAUAGGGUGUGACGCCUCCCCGGUGCCGGAAGGUUAAUUGAUGGGGUUAGCGCAAGCGAAGCUCUUGAUCGAAGCCCCGGUAAACGGCGGCCGUAACUAUAACGGUCCUAAGGUAGCGAAAUUCCUUGUCGGGUAAGUUCCGACCUGCACGAAUGGCGUAACGAUGGCGGCGCUGUCUCCACCCGAGACUCAGUGAAAUUGAAAUCGCUGUGAAGAUGCAGUGUAUCCGCGGCUAGACGGAAAGACCCCGUGAACCUUUACUGUAGCUUUGCACUGGACUUUGAGCCUGCUUGUGUAGGAUAGGUGGGAGGCUUUGAAGCGUGGACGCCAGUUCGCGUGGAGCCAUCCUUGAAAUACCACCCUGGCAUGCUUGAGGUUCUAACUCUGGUCCGUAAUCCGGAUCGAGGACAGUGUAUGGUGGGCAGUUUGACUGGGGCGGUCUCCUCCUAAAGAGUAACGGAGGAGUACGAAGGUGCGCUCAGACCGGUCGGAAAUCGGUCGCAGAGUAUAAAGGCAAAAGCGCGCUUGACUGCGAGACAGACACGUCGAGCAGGUACGAAAGUAGGUCUUAGUGAUCCGGUGGUUCUGUAUGGAAGGGCCAUCGCUCAACGGAUAAAAGGUACUCCGGGGAUAACAGGCUGAUACCGCCCAAGAGUUCAUAUCGACGGCGGUGUUUGGCACCUCGAUGUCGGCUCAUCACAUCCUGGGGCUGAAGCCGGUCCCAAGGGUAUGGCUGUUCGCCAUUUAAAGUGGUACGCGAGCUGGGUUUAGAACGUCGUGAGACAGUUCGGUCCCUAUCUGCCGUGGACGUUUGAGAUUUGAGAGGGGCUGCUCCUAGUACGAGAGGACCGGAGUGGACGAACCUCUGGUGUUCCGGUUGUCACGCCAGUGGCAUUGCCGGGUAGCUAUGUUCGGAAAAGAUAACCGCUGAAAGCAUCUAAGCGGGAAACUUGCCUCAAGAUGAGAUCUCACUGGGAACUUGAUUCCCCUGAAGGGCCGUCGUAGACUACGACGUUGAUAGGCUGGGUGUGUAAGCGUUGUGAGGCGUUGAGCUAACCAGUACUAAUUGCCCGUGAGGCUUGAUC